rnacentral:tRNA from 1 species
AAGGGUAUAGCUCAGUGGUAGAGCAUGUGCUUAGCAUGCACGAGGUCCUGGGUUCAAUCCCCAGUACCUCCA